AAAUUGAAGAGUUUGAUCAUGGCUCAGAUUGAACGCUGGCGGCAGGCCUAACACAUGCAAGUCGAACGGUAACAGGAAGCAGCUUGCUGCUUUGCUGACGAGUGGCGGACGGGUGAGUAAUGUCUGGGAAACUGCCUGAUGGGGGGGGAUAACUACUGGAAACGGUGGCUAAUACCGCAUAACGUCGCAAGACCAAAGAGGGGGACCUUCGGGCCUCUUGCCAUCAGAUGUGCCCAGAUGGGAUUAGCUUGUUGGUGAGGUAACGGCUCACCAAGGCGACGAUCCCUAGCUGGUCUGAGAGGAUGACCAGCCACACUGGAACUGAGACACGGUCCAGACUCCUACGGGAGGCAGCAGUGGGGAAUAUUGCACAAUGGGCGCAAGCCUGAUGCAGCCAUGCCGCGUGUAUGAAGAAGGCCUUCGGGUUGUAAAGUACUUUCAGCGGGGAGGAAGGUGUUGUGGUUAAUAACCGCAGCAAUUGACGUUACCCGCAGAAGAAGCACCGGCUAACUCCGUGCCAGCAGCCGCGGUAAUACGGAGGGUGCAAGCGUUAAUCGGAAUUACUGGGCGUAAAGCGCACGCAGGCGGUCUGUCAAGUCGGAUGUGAAAUCCCCGGGCUCAACCUGGGAACUGCAUUCGAAACUGGCAGGCUUGAGUCUUGUAGAGGGGGGUAGAAUUCCAGGUGUAGCGGUGAAAUGCGUAGAGAUCUGGAGGAAUACCGGUGGCGAAGGCGGCCCCCUGGACAAAGACUGACGCUCAGGUGCGAAAGCGUGGGGAGCAAACAGGAUUAGAUACCCUGGUAGUCCACGCCGUAAACGAUGUCUACUUGGAGGUUGUGCCCUUGAGGCGUGGCUUCCGGAGCUAACGCGUUAAGUAGACCGCCUGGGGAGUACGGCCGCAAGGUUAAAACUCAAAUGAAUUGACGGGGGCCCGCACAAGCGGUGGAGCAUGUGGUUUAAUUCGAUGCAACGCGAAGAACC
rnacentral:rRNA from 1 species